rnacentral:rRNA from 1 species
AGAACGAACGCUGGCGGCACGCCUAACACAUGCAAGUCGAGCGCCCAGCAAUGGGAGCGGCGGACGGGUGAGGAACACGUGGGAACAUGCCUUUCGGUUCGGCACAACUGCGGGAAACUUGAGCUAAUACCGAAUACGCCCUUACGGGGAAAGAUUUAUUGCCGAAGGAACGGCCCGCGUCCGAUUAGCUAGUUGGUGAGGUAAUGGCUCACCAAGGCUACGAUCGGUAGCUGGUCUGAGAGGAUGACCAGCAUCACUGGGACUGAGACACGGCCCAGACUCCUACGGGAGGCAGCAGUGGGGAAUAUGGACAAUGGGCGCAAGCCUGAUCCAGCCAUGCCGCGUGGAUGAUGAAGGCCUUAGGGUUGUAAAGUCCUUUUAACGGGAAGAUAAUGACGGUACCCGUAGAAUAAGCCCGGCUAACUUCGUGCCGAGCAGCCGC